rfam:Danio rerio chromosome 14, GRCz11 reference primary assembly.
AGCCGGCGCUGAGAGGCGGAGACUUGGGCAGCUGCCGUCAUUCCCAGAAGGCAUUGCACUUGUCUCGGUCUGACAGUGGCGGCA